UUGCACAUGGGGGNAACCCUGNAUGCAGCCAUGCCGCGUGUGUGAAGAAGGCCUUCGGGUUGUAAAGCACUUUCAGCGAGGAGGAAAGGUCAGUAGCUAAUAUCUGCUGACUGUGACGUUACUCGCAGAAGAAGCACCGGCUAACUCCGUGCCAGCAGCCGCGGUAAUACGGAGGGUGCAAGCGUUAAUCGGAAUUACUGGGCGUAAAGCGCACGCAGGCGGUUGGAUAAGUUAGAUGUGAAAGCCCCGGGCUCAACCUGGGAAUUGCAUUUAAAACUGUCCAGCUAGAGUC
rnacentral:rRNA from 1 species